AAUGCAUACUGAGGUGAUGUGUGGAUUAGUGACAGACAAGUUAAAAAAUAUUAAACACUUAUUUUACAGACAAUUUUACUCAUGUAUUUGUCUCCUCCUCAUACUUUUCCAUGAUCGGCCUCAUCCCAUGGCUGCUGUACCCUGCUGACUGGCUUAGUCCAGUUGUGAAGCUGCACAUAAGUUCAUUGAUAGAAAACGGUCUUUGAUGUCAGAGGCCAAGCCUUAACUGAUGCAAAAAUCACACUGUAAUGCUGACAUUUAGGCUACUACAUCAGGGUUUGUUGAUGCUGGGAAUUGAACCCUGAUCUCCCAGGGGAAAGGGCAAGGUUUGGUGUGUUGGGCCAGGGAGCUGGCAUGAUGGUGGCUGUCAUGUGUGAGUUAAGAGCUGGUUGCCCCAUGGAUUGCACCACAUGGUCUGGUCUUCCCUGCCUACAAACCAGGUGUGACAUACCAAUAGUGAUUACUGUGAACAGAACAGAACAAAGAAGAACAGGAGAGAGAACAGAAGAAACUUCCGAGAAUCAAGGCUCAGGAGAGUGAAGAAUGUAGAGAGGAUGAAAGGAGCAUUGAAGCUCAUAUCAAUGAAAUGUCUACAGAGAUGCUUAAGGUACACCCAGAUCUGAACUCUUUAAAGGAGAGAAUGAGACGAACCUAUGCAUACCGAAAGACCUUCAUGGCAACUGCCAAGGCAGAGGAAAUCAUCGAAACGUUUCCCGCACUGAAGCUUCCAAAAAUAGUUGGUAUCUUCAAGCAUUGAAUUGACCAUAUUUAAUUGUAUGUGUAUUAUUUCAUUUAUGAUCAUCAAGUAUUUUGAGAUGACACUUGUUAUCCCUCCUUACAGCUUCUGUGGGAGAUGAAGGAGCAAUUUCUUUGUAGAAGCUGAUCGCAGAAUGGUCACAGAGCUGGAUCGAAUGGCAACGAAGAUGGUUCAAAGAGCAUCUAUGUGUGACCUAAAGGACUGCUGCCAGAGGGCAAUCAAUGCCUGCCUGGAUGAUUCAGUAAGACGAGGACUCAUUAGGGAUGCAGCAAUUCUACUGCUGCCUUCCAUUUUCAGAGAGGACUCAUCCUUUCUAUACACUCUACUGGAGGAGCCAAGCGUGCCUACUCCAGCAAUCAUGCUCCAUAACACACACGAGGGGAACCCUUUGCAGGCACAAAGAAUAACCCUAUACCUGGAUGGUAUACAGGUUUUGACUGAGG